GAUGAACGCUGGCUACAGGCUUAACACAUGCAAGUCGAGGGGAAACGACGGGGAAGCUUGCUUCCCCGGGCGUCGACCGGCGCACGGGUGAGUAACGCGUAUCCAACCUGCCUCUGACUGAGGGAUAACCCGUCGAAAGUCGGCCUAAUACCUCAUGGUAUCGUCUGCGGGCAUCCAACGACGAUUAAAGAUUUCAUCGGUCAGGGAUGGGGAUGCGUCUGAUUAGCUUGUUGGCGGGGUAACGGCCCACCAAGGCUACGAUCAGUAGGGGUUCUGAGAGGAAGGUCCCCCACAUUGGAACUGAGACACGGUCCAAACUCCUACGGGAGGCAGCAGUGAGGAAUAUUGGUCAAUGGGCGAGAGCCUGAACCAGCCAAGUAGCGUGCAGGAAGACGGCCCUAUGGGUUGUAAACUGCUUUUAUGCGGGGAUAAAGUGAGGGACGUGUCCCUCAUUGCAGGUACCGCAUGAAUAGGACCG
rnacentral:rRNA from 1 species